rnacentral:rRNA from 1 species
AACGAACGCUGGCGGCGUGCUUAACACAUGCAAGUCGAACGUGAAAGGCUUCGGCCGAGUAAAGUGGCGCACGGGUGAGUAACGCGUGGGAAUCUACCCUAGAGCGGGGGACAACCCGGGGAAACCCGGGCUAAUACCGCAUACGUCCUACGGGAGAAAGAGGGCCUCUGCUUGCACGCUCUCACUCCAGGAUGAGCCCACGUCCGAUUAGCUAGUUGGUAGGGUAAAGGCCUACCAAGGCCACGAUCGGUAGCUGGUCUGAGAGGAUGAUCAGCCACACUGGGACUGAGACACGGCCCAGACUCCUACGGGAGGCAGCAGUGGGGAAUAUUGGACAAUGGGCGCAAGCCUGAUCCAGCAAUGCCGCGUGUGUGAAGAAGGCCUGCGGGUUGUAAAGCACUUUCAGUGGGAAGAACAGAUUCGGGUCAAUACCCCGGAGCCCUGACGUUACCCACAGAAGAAGCACCGGCUAACUCCGUGCCAGCAGCCGCGGUAAUGUGU